AUUGAACGCUGGCGGAAUGCUUUACACAUGCAAGUCGAACGGCAGCACGGGGCAACCUGGUGGCGAGUGGCGAACGGGUGAGUAAUAUAUCGGAACGUGCCCAAUCGUGGGGGAUAACGUAGCGAAAGUUACGCUAAUACCGCAUACGAUCUACGGAUGAAAGCGGGGGAUCGCAAGACCUCGCGCGAAUGGAGCGGCCGAUAUCAGAUUAGGUAGUUGGUGGGGUAAAGGCUCACCAAGCCAACGAUCUGUAGCUGGUCUGAGAGGACGACCAGCCACACUGGAACUGAGACACGGUCCAGACUCCUACGGGAGGCAGCAGUGGGGAAUUUUGGACAAUGGGCGCAAGCCUGAUCCAGCCAUUCCGCGUGCAGGAUGAAGGCCUUCGGUUGUAAC
rnacentral:rRNA from 1 species